GUGAGGAAUAUUGGUCAAUGGCCGUAAGGCUGAACCAGCCAAGUAGCGUGAGGGAAGACUGCCCUAUGGGUUGUAAACCUCUUUUAUGCGGGGAUAAAGGUGUCCACGUGUGGAUGUUUGCAGGUACCGCAUGAAUAAGGACCGGCUAAUUCCGUGCCAGCAGCCGCGGUAAUACGGAAGGUCCGGGCGUUAUCCGGAUUUAUUGGGUUUAAAGGGAGCGUAGGCCGGUCUUUAAGCGUGCCGUGAAAUUUUGUGGCUCAACCAUGAGAGUGCGGCGCGAACUGGAGACCUUGAGUGCGCGGAAGGCAGGCGGAAUUCGUGGUGUAGCGGUGAAAUGCUUAGAUAUCACGAAGAACCCCGAUUGCGAAGGCAGCCUGCCGCAGCGUUACUGACGCUGAAGCUCGAAAGCGCGGGUAUCGAACAGGA
rnacentral:rRNA from 1 species